UACGGAGGGUGCGAACGUUAAUCGGAAUCACUGGGCGUAAAGCGCGCGUAGGCGGUUUGUUAAGUGGGAUGUGAAAUCCCCAGGCUCAACUUGGGAACUGCGUCUGAUACUGGAUGGCUUGAAUUCGGGAGAGGGAUGCAGAAUUCCAGGUGUAGCGGUGAAAUGCGUAGAUAUCUGGAGGAAUACCGGUGGCGAAGGCGGCAUCCUGGACCGAGAUUGACACUGAUGAGCGAAAGCCAGGGGAGCAAACGGG
rnacentral:rRNA from 1 species